ACAUUGGAGGAUGAAGAGUUGAUCGCAUACAUGUUGUGUGGCCUCAGCACCGAGUACGACUCAUUGGUGACAAGCAUCAGCACACACAGAUCAAUACACCAUCAGUGAUGUGUACGCACAUAUGCUGAGUUUGAAA